AUGGUAGCAGAGACGCGCGCCGCCCACCCGGACGGCGGGCGCGUCACGGCGGCGGCGGUGGUCGGCUGCAUCUGCCUCGACCACGUCGCGUGCGCCGAGUGCGAUCGCAUCCUCGGCAUCCCAUUCCUCGCGAUCGACGCACGGCCCCCGUCCCCACGGCGCGCGUCGACGACGCCGGGCUCAGGCUCGGGCUCAGGCUCGCCGCCCGUCCCCAUGGCGCGCAUCGGCGUCGGGCUCAGGCUCGGGAUCGGGCCGGGCACAUGCGGAGACGAGGCCCUGGCAGAGCGGUUCGACGCGUCCAUCUCCGGCAUGACGGAGCGGCUCGGUCUCGCGCCGGCCGUCAGGGAUCGGGCCGAGGAGGUGUUCAGGAAGAUGGAGGCGGCCAGGGCGUGGCCGCGCGGCCCGGGCUGGGCCAAGGGCCGGUCCCCCCGGGACAAGGGCAGGCUCUACGCGGCCUGCCUCUCCAUCGCGUGCCGCAACGAGGGCUCCCCGCGGUCGCUGAGGGAGCUGGCCCUGGCGACGGCGGACGGCAGCGCGGCGGCGAGGAAGGAGAUCGCCAAGCUGAUCGCGCACAUCAGGAAGCGCCUGGGCGAGGAGGAGGCCGGGCUGGCGACGGGCGUCGGCGCGGUCCCCGUCUACGGCUACCUGCGCCGCUUCGGGCCGCUGCUCGGGCUGGGGGACCGGGAGGCGGCGGCGGCGUGGGAGGCCGCGCGGAGGCUGGAGGAGGGCGUCCUCGACGUGCGGCACAACGCGGAGGCUGUUGCGGCCGCCGUCGUCUGCAUGGCCAUGGAGCGCGCAGGCGCCAGGAGGCACAUCAGGGAAGUGGCGACGGCCACCGGCAUCCCCUAUACCACCGUCUACCUCGUGUGCAGGAAACUGCGCCCCCACGCCGCGCUGCUCUUCGACUGA
rnacentral:rRNA from 1 species